rnacentral:misc_RNA from 1 species
GUCUUUUUAUUAUUUAGGAAUUUUUUUGUCGAUUAGGAAUUUAUAAUUAGAGUUUGCUUCGUAUUUUCUUAUUUAGGGUUCCAAGUCCUAAUACUAAUUCUACUAUAAAUGCCUUAGUUCUAUAGGUAUUUUCGUAUAGUUCUCUAGGUAUUUUGAUAAAUCAUUUUCUAUAAUCGAAAAUUAAUUUGAGAGUUAAUAAAAGUUGAGAAUUUGUUUUUCAUCCCCUUCUGAGAAUUUGUUAUUCUUAUUCUAUUGGUUCCACAUCAAUUAGUCAACCAUAGAAACCAAAAAAGAGCUUCCACUCCUACUACUUCCCUUUUCCUCCACCCCCACCGUCUCUCGCUUUUCAAUAGAGGAAAGGCCUGUUGGGUUCCGGUGAAGCACACAUGUAAUGACCCAGGAAAUGCAUACUAAUGGAACCAUAGACCAUCAACUUUAAAUUCAAAGCUUUAACAAACUAUCCUGCCAUGCAGAUUAAUAGUGCAACAUAUGCUAUAUCAAUUUGUUUUCAAAAUGGAGAAUAGAAAAAAAGGGAGAAGCUAACUUAAAGAACAUUUCAUGAACAAUAUAGUUUGUGAUGACUUCUAAAAUUGACAAAAGCACAAGUUUCUUGAAAUUCAGGACCAAUAACAUACAUAACAAUAUCAAAUAUUAGCACCAAUGGAGAUAUAGAAGGAAAUGACCACAAACAAGAUAUAGAAUGAAAUUAGAAGACAGAAAGGGGAAACAAAGGGAAAACUGUUUCCUAUUUAUGACACAAGAAUAAAUGGUCAAAUAAAAAAAUUCCACUAUGUAUAAACACCUAAAGAAAGUUUGUUGCAGAACAUAAGAGUAAACCAAUAAAUCUUCUAGUGAACCAGGAAAAAAAAAUACCUUUCUCUAGGUCUGGUCACUAACCUUGCAUAUUGGGCGGUGAGGAUCUCGAAGAUUAACAAGUAAAUUGUCACUUUUCAAGUCAAAGUGUACUAUGUUCUUUCCAUGCAAGUAUUCCAUCCCAAAGGCCACAUCCAUGGCAAUCAAUAGACGCUUACGCUUGUCAAGACUCCUCUCAUUCUUCUGCAAAGCAUUUCUCAGAGAACCAUUAACCAUGUAUUCUGUCACUGUUGCCACAGAUCCUCCAGGACCAUCAAGCACAACACCAUAGAAAGCUACCACAUUUGGAUGAUGCAAGUCCGCAAGCUUAAUUGCUUCAUUCCAGAAAUCAUCUAUCAUGCGUUCUUGUUCAGAAGGUUUCCCAGCAAAACAUCUAUCAUUGAUCCUUUUAAUUGCAACAUCAGUGCCCCUCCACUUCCCAUGAUAUACAGUCCCAAAGGUGCCAGAACCCAAUUCUCGCAACUCUUCAAGGUCAACAUUCUUUAUAAUCUGCAAACGAUAAUUUCCUUCAGAUACUGGAAAUCCAAAAUUCAGCUUUUCUGGCAGUUUAUUCUUCAUAUCCUCAAAUUUAGCUUUGUGUUGCAUGUCUAUAUCUUCACUUGAAACUUUCUUGUCUUGACUUGCCUCAUGAGCUGAUUCACUUCUUUCAUUAGCCAUUGAGUCAGGACUAGGGCUACCUAACUGAAAAACAGAAGCAACUACACCCUCAGCUACAGCCUGAAGUUCUUGCUUCAUGAGUUCCUCAGCUGAGCCUUUGGAGGAUUGAGCUUGCUCUGAAUUCAAAUCCCUUUUUGCAUUGCUCUGUGGCUGGGAAACUCCAUCCCCCAUCAGCCCAUCUGUCUUUAUUUCUCCAGGGUUGCUGGCAAGGUUCUCACUGAAAGGAUCCUUGGUAUCAGAAGUUUCUUUUUUCGUUAGAAUUUUGUUUGGUCUAGGAGGAGGAAGGUGAGCAUCAUGCCUUAGAUUCCAAGGAUCCUGGUUGCUGAAAAGUGAAUUUGAGGAAUCCUGAACAUCUCCAACUCUACCAGAUGAUAAGGGAGACGGCACAUUAGCAUUUGGAGAUCCAACUCCCAUAUCAAUAGGACUAAUUUUUGGUUGUGGGAUUCUAUCAAUUGCAUAGGCCGGCUGAAUGCCUGAGAAUGUGGGGUUUCCAUAACUAACCUCCCCAGAAUCCAAUAGAUUAAUUCCAAUCAUGCAUUGCGGAUACGAUACUUGAUUACCCAAAAUGGGUGGCUGUGUGACCACAGAAGCAGGCAGUAUUUCAGUUGGCUUGAUGUGGUUUGAGUCAAGAACCAGCUGAGGCUUUUUAUAGCUAUCAUCCAGAAAUGAAUCCCUCCCACCUAAUUGUUGAGCUUUGUAAUCCAAGAUCUCUUCCUUUCUCAGUUUAUCAACAGGUGACUUACUCUGCUCAUUACUAGCACUAAUUUCAGGGGACAUAUGGAGAGUUUCUAUCAUCCCAUUAAUUGAUCUUAGCUGAUCAUAUGAUACACUAGAUUCUACAAUAUCUCCUCUGGAAACAACACGAGGCAGGUUACCAGGGUACUCCACUGGACAUUCAUGACCCAACCGUUCUGAAGCUUGAACACCAGGAAAUUGAGAGACAUCACCAUUAAUAGGUUUGUUCAGUAAGGGCUCCUCGUUAACCUGGUAUUGACCAGACACCUGAUGCUGCUGAACAGAAUCUUCUUGGCGAGACUGGAGAACUAUACCUGUGAAUCCUGGUACAGCCAUCAUACCAUGAGGAACUGAAAUCUUAGAUUUAUCAGAACUGUCCACUUUCCGCAUGGUAGUUCUCUCAUUUUCAGUAUGUGAGAACAAAACCGCUUCUGAUUGUUGCAAUCCAACUUGAUGGUCAACAUGGCUAAGGGCAGAGGAUCGAGCCCCAACACCCUGUUCAACAAUGCCAUCCCCCAAAGCUCCGCCAACCAUAACCCAGUUCAAAGGCUGACCUUUUUUAGUGUCUCCCAAAUGGAGACUAUGAUGAACUGCGUUUGAAUCAGAUAGAGAGCUCAUCCCACUCUCUCUUUGAUCCUGUGCCAAAGGAUCCGAAUGUGCAUGAGGCAGUGCUUUCUGACACAUAACACAAUCCUCAAAUCUCUGUAUUUUUUCAGAAAAAAUUACCUGUUGGUGAGACACUGAUCCAUCAGAGAAGACAACAUGCUCAGUCUGAGCAACUGGAUGCCAACCAUAGCCACCUCCAACAACUGCAGAUGGAGGCUGGGGCUGAUAAGCAUUGUAGCUUGGGUCAAUAGGAAACUGAACAAUCCUUGUGCCAUAUGUGUUUUCAUUAGAAUAUCGAUCCACACGAGCUUGUUGUGUUUGCACCAGUGGCUGAACAAUGGUUGGCCUCAUAGCUACUUGAGAAGAUGUGGGUGUCAUCGUCAUAUGCACAGCAGGAAUAUAUUGAUGAGAAGCCACGCUUGAAUUACUGUCACGAAUCUGCUGUUGAGUGUAUGCAGAUCCAGCAGUCCCCAACAACUGAGCAUUGGGAAAUCUCAUCUGGGCAGGAAGAUACAUAUAAUCUGCAUGAUUUGUGAUUUCUUGGCGGUGAUCUGCAUAAGCUUGCAAGUGAGGUGCAGGUGGUGGAAUGCCCAUUCCAGCUUGCUGGAAAUCAUAUCCCAAUUGCUGUUGAGGCACAGAAACAGGUAUGGACCUCUCAAAUUCAACUUCGGGCUGGGAAGAUAGAGUUUGGGGAGGACCAGACUUAACCACGGGAAUGCCCAGAGACACUGCAGAUGCAUCGGCAUGAAUUGGAGGAUUAGGUUCCACUGGCACAAAUUUUGGAUUGGACUCCUGGGAAGUUGCCAGAUCACCUCUAGGCGACAAAACACUAGCUGUUGGUGCACCACUAAUAUCCACUUGACCAGUACCUGAGCUAUCAACUGCCUCAGUCCCACUAAAAUCAGAGUUCUGAGUUGAAGUUGCACUUGCUAUACUCUCCUUCCAAGCAAUACCACUGCCAACACCAUCUGCAAUCCCAUUUACUGCAUCAACAUAUCUCUGUCCACUGUCAUGUAAAUCUCCAAAUUGCACCAUACCAGAUGUGUCAAGCUCCAUAGCAGAGAACAAGAACACCCUUAACUUAGCUGACCCAUCAGAAGACCUCUCAACCAACUUCUCAUACUCAUCCAUCAUAUUAUCAAGAUCAUCAGUACAAGAAACCGACACCAGUGCAUCAAGAUCCUCAUCAGGAAGCUGGUAUUUAAUAACCACUGGUUGGCCAUAAGUAUCCACCAUCUUUUGCACUAGCUCAUUAAAGGACACAUCUCUCCUCACACUAAUGAUCCUGGUCUGCCCUCCAACAUAUCUCAACAUACCAUCACUGGGUCUAGGGAAAAUCUUCCCCCCAAAACUACACAAAAACUUAACUUUCUUCCCUGACACUGAAUCAUCCCCACCCUCUUCACUCCCAUGAUCAACGCCAGUGCCACUACCACUUCCACGGUUCCCCAAAUUGGCAUUGUAACCAGAUCCCACAUUUGUCAACUCGUUGCUCCCAUUAGAAUUAACCCGAUUGUCCAAAAGGGAACUACUACCCGACCCAGCAACAAUAUCAUUUCCAGCAUGAUCAACGGCAUUACUAACCAUCCUAUUACCCAAAUUGGGGCUGUAACCAAACCCAACAUUUGGGCUAUUCACACUUCCAACUGGCACCGGUAGGCGUGGAGCCCAUGGGGCUGGGCCACCAUAUCCUAAACUUACAAAACCAGAAUCAGACACUGUUAUCGGGUAAAAAACGGGUAUAGAACCAUCUGGAUUGGCAAAAAUUUCUGGGUUUCUACUCGCUACUGUCGCUGUGGCAAUAGUGGGAGCAGUAGCGGUGGACAACACAGCAAUGCGGGGCUCUUCGGGUAUGGUUCUGGCUACGUUUAUUGGUCUUAGAUCUUUUGGUAUGUGGUUCUGAUCAAAAGCCAUAUAUAAUUUCAAUUGAGGAAUGAAUUAAUCCAGAGAGAGAAACCUAGGGUUUUGCCAAUGGGUUUUAUUCUAUACAUUCACUAGUUCCAAAAACUACGAUGAACCCAUAUAAGUAGCGCAAAAACUCAACAAGAACACAAGCCUUCAAAGCUCAAAACAGAAUUAAAAGAGAAAAAGAGAGAGACAAAUACCAGAUUUGAAGGGUGACUAUCCCAGAUAUAUAUAUAUAAAACAAAAUAAAUAAAUAAAUUGAAACAAUACUCAAUAUAGGCAACUGAAUAGGAUUACCUCAUUGGUCUAGUUUAGGCUACAGGUUUCCAUUUUGUAAGACAUUCUGUUCUGACUUCUGAAUCUAUCAACGUUUAUCUGACAGGUGGACAUAUCAGUGAAAGAGAAGCUUUCAG